rnacentral:snoRNA from 1 species
AUGAUGAGAAACAGUUAAUUUUUUAUGGUUAGAACAAAAAUGAUUCCCAUGAUUAUAAUUUAACUAGGGCGGACUGAUCUC